CCCAGCAGAGUGAUGGCUAGGAAAGUACCCUAUAGCUACUUCGAAGUGCACCCCUCCCCCAGUCUUGUCCCCAGCGUCUCAGAACUAGAGAAGCAUGGCCCCUCCUUGCCACGUUGCCCACCAGGUCUGCCCAGCACAGCAGUGGGCUCAGACGGGAGGACCAGCUGUGGAAGGACCCCAGAGCUAGGGCCCUGUGUAAGAGGGAGCAGAUUUUCAAGGCCCAUUCACUGCGCUUCUCUGUCACCACAUUCUGUUCCUAUGCACCUCCCCCAAGCUAGACCACACCCAUUUGGGACAAGCCAGAUUACCACGGAGCCCCAUCCUCCCCCUACAUGCAACCACACUUUGGCUUUUGUAAAAGAUAUUAGCCAACCAGCUCACCUUCCUGGAUCCCACUUAAUGCCUAGGGGGGCAGACACAGUGGCUACUGUUUCUCAGAAUGGCAUUAUGGGGUCAUCCCAGCCUCAGGGGAAGGAACUCUGAACUCUGAACUGGGUAUCUGGAGGCCUGAGUUCUCAACAUGUGCUCUUCCCAAGUGCUUGCCCUCUCUGGGUCUCAGUGCCCUACUCUUCAGCAAGCAAUUAGACUAGACCUGGGCAGGGUGUGCUCACUCAGUGGUGCACGUGCCUAGCAUGCACAAAGCCCUGGGUUCAACCCCCAGCACACCUGGAACCCCGGCAUAUUGGAGGUGUAAGCAGUAAAGUCAUCAGGUCAGAGUCAUCUAACUUAA
rnacentral:lncRNA from 1 species